rnacentral:misc_RNA from 1 species
GAUGAAGAACGUAGCGAAAUGCGAUACGUAGUGUGAGUUGCAGAAUUCAGUGAAUCAUCGAAUCUUUGAACGCACAUUGCACCUCUCGGUAUUCCGGGAGGUAUGCCUGUUCGAGCGUCAUUUGUACCCUCAAGCUCUGCUUGGUGUUGGGUGUUUGUUCCGCCUCUGUGUGUGAACUCGCCUCAAAACAAUUGGCAGCCGGCGUACUUGUUUCGGAGCGCAGCACAUUUUGCGAUCCAGAUCAACGUACAGCGGCAUCCAAGAAGCCUUAUUUAACGCUCUUGACCUCGGAUCAGGUAGGGAUACCCGCUGAACUUAAGCAUAUCAAUAAGCGGAGGA